ACNGGUGCGUANNGCGUAUGCANCCUACNUUUUACAUUGGGAUAGCCCUAANAAAUUGGGAUUAAUACCAAAUAACAUUAAGAUACCACAUGGUAUUUUACUUAAAACUCCGGUGGUAAAAGAUGGGCAUGCGUGACAUUAGAUAGUUGGUGAGGUAACGGCUCACCAAGUCUACGAUGUCUAGGGGUUCUGAGAGGAAGGUCCCCCACACUGGUACUGAGACACGGACCAGACUCCUACGGGAGGCAGCAGUGAGGAAUAUUGGGCAAUGGAGGCAACUCUGACCCAGCCAUGUCGCGUGCAGGAAGACAGUUCUAUGAAUUGUAAACUGCUUUUAUACGGGAAGAAACCGGGGGACGUGUCCCCCUUUGCCUGUACCGUACGAAUAAGCAUCGGCUAACUCCGUGCCAGCAGCCGCGGUAAUACGGAGGAUGCGAGCGUUAUCCGGAUUCAUUGGGUUUAAAGGGUGCGUAGGCGGAUUAAUAAGUCAGGGGUGAAAGUUUGCGGCUCAACCGUAAAAUUGCCUUUGAUACUGUUAAUCUUGAGUACACG
rnacentral:rRNA from 1 species